UAGGGAAUCUUCCACAAUGGACGCAAGUCUGAUGGAGCAACGCCGCGUGAGUGAAGAAGGUUUUCGGAUCGUAAAGCUCUGUUGUUGGUGAAGAAGGAUAGAGGCAGUAACUGGUCUUUAUUUGACGGUAAUCAACCAGAAAGUCACGGCUAACUACGUGCCAGCAGCCGCGGUAAUACGUAGGUGGCAAGCGUUGUCCGGAUUUAUUGGGCGUAAAGCGAGCGCAGGCGGAAUGAUAAGUCUGAUGUGAAAGCCCACGGCUCAACCGGGGAACUGCAUCGGAAACUGUCAUUCUUGAGUGCAGAAGAGGAGAGUGGAAUUCCAUGUGUAGCGGUGGAAUGUGUAGAUAUAUGGAAGAACACCGGUGGCGAAGGCGGCUCUCUGGUCUGCAACUGACGCUGAGGCUCGAAAGCAUGGGUAGCGAACAGG
rnacentral:rRNA from 1 species